rnacentral:rRNA from 1 species
AACGAACGCUGGCGGCAGGCCUAACACAUGCAAGUCGAGCGAAGCCUUCGGGCUUAGCGGCGGACGGGUGAGUAACGCGUGGGAACGUGCCCUUUGGUACGGAAUAGCCCCGGGAAACUGGGAGUAAUACCGUAUGUGGUCGAGAGACGAAAGAUUUAUCGCCAAAGGAUCGGCCCGCGUUGGAUUAGGUAGUUGGUGGGGUAAUGGCCUACCAAGCCGACGAUCCAUAGCUGGUUUGAGAGGAUGAUCAGCCACACUGGGACUGAGACACGGCCCAGACUCCUACGGGAGGCAGCAGUGGGGAAUUUUAGACAAUGGGGGAAACCCUGAUCUAGCCAUGCCGCGUGAGCGAUGAAGGCCUUAGGGUUGUAAAGCUCUUUCAGUGGGGAAGAUAAUGACGGUACCCACAGAAGAAGCCCCGGCUAACUCCGUGCCAGCAGCCGCGGUAACAC